UGGGCCUCCAGUGAUUAUUAAACUAAUGGACUCAUUAUCACUCACUUAAUGGGAGGCUAUGACUUAGUUAUCAGUAUAACUUAAUCAUUUUUAGGGACCUAAUAAUUUUUGAGGAUUUUAUUAAAGGAUAGAAGAGAAAAAAUUAAUCAGCCAAUUUCAAUCCUCCCACUGACUUCACCAAGUCAGAUUAAAAAGGAUUUAAUUAAAGCCGGCAUUAGGAGCACCUAAAUCAGUCACACUGAUUUACCUAAUGACAUGGGUGAGCCCUAAUCACCAAGUGAUCUAAUCAAAACCUAACUCACCAGGUUGGCCAGGAAAGUGAGAUCAGUGGUGGGGAUAUGCUAUUAACUCGUUAGAGAUUG
rnacentral:lncRNA from 1 species